UUUCCCCAUUUGCUCUAGACGAUCUUUGAGAGGUUCUGGAGAAAAGCUCCUCGCGCAGGCUGCUAUGAUCCAGCAACUGGGCGACACUUUCUGUUUUCAGCCCUGACUGCUGCGUUGGAAACUGUUUGAGGCUUUUUUCUGGGGCACUGAUACUAUUAAACAAAACAACGCUUAUGACUACUAUCCAGCGACUUUUUAAAUUGUAGCUGCUGGCCUCCGAGGCUAGCUGGCUAGCGGAGCGGUGACGGAGCGGAGCCAGCUGGUCGGACAAACAGAAACGUUAGCGAACAAGCUAAUUAGCCUGAGCCCGGAUUAACGUCUUCAACCAAACAGAGCAAAGCAAGUCUGUGGGCUCACUCACCACCGGAAAACAUGAAAAUAACUGUGGAUUUUGAGGAAUGCCUGAAAGACUCCCCGCGGUUCAGAGCCACCAUAGAGGAUGUGGAGGGGGAAGUGUGCGAGUUGGAAUCCAAGCUGGACAAAAUGGUGAAGCUGUGUAUUGGGAUGAUCGAUGCUGGAAAAGCCUACAAUGCAGCCAACAAGCAGUUUGUUAACGGGAUCCGCGAGCUGGCCCAGCAGUCUGCCAAAGAUGAGGUCAUCGAGUCUAGUCUCACAAAGUUUGCAGAGAGCCUCCAGGAGAUGAUCAACUAUCACACGAUUUUAUUUGAUCAGGCCCAGAGAUCGAUCAAGACUCAACUGCAAACCUUUGUGAAAGAUGACCUUCGCAAGUUCAAAGAGGCCAAGAAACAGUUUGACAAAGUCAGCGAGGAAAAGGAGGCAGCACUUAUCAAAAACGCUCAGGCUCCCCGUAACAAACAGCAUGAAGUGGAGGAGGCAACAAACAUCCUCACCGCCACACGCAAGUGCUUCCGACACAUCGUCCUCGACUACGUCUUACAGAUAAAUGUUCUACAGUCCAAGAAAAGGUCUGAAAUCUUGAAAUCAAUGCUGUCCUUCAUGUAUGCCCAUCUGACCUUCUUCCACCAAGGUUAUGACCUCUUUAGUGAACUGCAACCGCUGAUGAAACAGCUGGGCGGACAGUUGGACCAGCUGGUGGUCGAUGCUGCCAAAGAGAAAAGGGACAUGGAGCAGAAGCACUCCACCAUCCAACAAAAGGCCGCCCUGCAGGAGGUGACAGAGGUUGACUUGUUACCAGACUGCCGCAGCUUUUGUGCCUGGAGGUCGACCUCCGAUUUUUCAACUGAUGACACCAAGCUGGAAUACAAUGUGGACGCUGACAAUGGCAUCGCCAUGGAGGGUUAUUUGUUUAAGAGGGCCAGUAAUGCCUUCAAGACGUGGAACAGACGUUGGUUCUCCAUCCAGAACAAUCAGCUAGUAUACCAGAAGAAAUUUAAGGACAACCCGACAGUCGUGGUAGAAGACCUGAGACUAUGUACAGUCAAACACUGUGAGGACAUCGAGAGACGCUUCUGUUUUGAAGUGGUUUCACCCACAAAGAGCUGCAUGAUGCAGGCAGACUCGGAGAAGCUGCGCCAGGCUUGGAUAAAAGCCGUCCAGAACAGCAUUGCCACUGCCUUUCGCGACAAGGGAGACAAUGGAGAGAAGCUGGACAGAAAGUCGUCCACGUCAACGGGGAGCCUGGACUCUGGAGGAGAGCCAAAGGAGAGGUCCCUGAAAGGGGAGAGCGCCCUGCAGAAAGUCCUGACCAUCCCCGGUAACGCCUGCUGCUGUGACUGCGGCCAGCCGGAUCCCCGCUGGGCGAGCAUCAAUCUGGGCAUCACCCUCUGUAUACAAUGCUCUGGCAUCCACAGGAGUCUGGGAGUUCAUUUCUCUAAAGUUCGAUCUUUGACUCUUGACACGUGGGAGCCAGAACUCCUCAAGUUGAUGUGUGAACUGGGAAACAAAGUGAUCAACCAGAUUUAUGAGGCUCGACGAGAAGAGCUGGGAGCCCGCAAACCACAGCCAGGAGACCCCCGACACGAGGUGGAGGCCUACAUCAAAGCCAAAUAUGUGGAUCGACGUUUUGUCCGCCGGCCCUCGGAUGAGGAGCUUCGUAACAAAGUGGUUUCUCUGAGCAAACAGGAGAAGAGGCUGAGCAGCGGAUCUGAGCAUCUGCCACCUAAAGCUCCUCCUCCUACACCAAAACUCCACCCUGGUUCUGGUGCAUCCGGGCAGCCAGCUGCUGCCAGCAGCGCGGAGGCUCGCCGCGACUCUCUCUUCUGUCCUGAUGAGCUUGACUCACUCUUCUCCUACUUUGACGCCUCCUACAAGCUGAGGAGCAUGAAAAGUGCAGACAGCGGCAUUCAGAACAGUGCUGAUGGGAGCAGAGAGAUGCUCGUCACCACAGCGCCCACUAACAGCCUGGCAGAAGCAGAAGCUGCCGAGUCUCCGCCCAUGCCCGCCCCCCUCCCCCCUCCAUCACCCUGCAAAGAGGUGCUUUUCUACGAGCCCAAAGAGUACAGCCCAGGUCUGCAGCUCUACUGGGCAUCAUGCGCCCGCAGCCUGCCAGACAUGGCCGAGGCACUGGCCCACGGAGCCGAGAUCAACUGGGUCAGCACGGAGGAGGACAAGAAAACACCGCUCAUCAUGGCUGUGCACGGGGGCUCUCUGGUCACCUGUGAGUUCCUGCUCCAAAAUGCAGCGAACGUGAACCAGCAAGAUGCUCAGGGCCGAGGUCCGCUGCACCACGCCACCAUGCUGGGGCAUACUGGGCAAGUCUGCUUAUUCUUGAAAAGGGGAGCAAACCAGAACGCUGCCGACAUCGAUGAGAAGACGCCCUUGAGCAUCGCUGUGGAGGCAGCAAAUGCAGACAUCGUCACACUGUUACGAUUGGCCAAGAUGAACGAGGAGAUGCGGGAGGCGGAGGGACCCUACAACCCAUCAGGUCAUUAUAACUCCGACAGCCCUACGGAGAUGCAGUACAGGAAGUGCAUGCAGGAGUUCAUUAGCCUGCAGCUGGAAGAAUCCGAUUAGAUGCUGCAGAGUCUGCCUGAGUUCACUUAGAUUACAUCAAACCACACAUAAAAAGGCAGUUUUUUUCUCUUAAUGAGACCUUCUGUUGACUGUAUUGACUGACAGUGAAGUCUGCAGGUGUUUCUGCUCAGUCCUGUAAGGCGCUGCGCAGCAUUAAUGUGGCAGGAUAAAAGCCAUCCAAUCUGAUCUACUGUUAGAUCUCUUCCUUUAGCACAAAACUGAAAGAGUAACUAGAUUUAUUUUUCAAGUGUAAAGUUUACAACUGUAUGUACUUGUUUCUUUUAGAGGGUUAAUUUCUAUCAGCUGUCAGGGAAUUGUUUUAACACUAAUAGUAUCUAGACUAAAACCGCUCCCAGUAUUCAGACCUGUUUCAUCAAAGCUUCUGGCAAUAAUCAAGACUUCUGAAUGACAAGAUGCGUGGUGUGUCUAUAAAUCAUUUAGUUUUAGAUCAAUUGGUUUUUUUAAUGCACCAAGGAAAAUAUGCACAUUCCUGAUGGUGGUUAUGCAACAACUUCUUUCUUCUAACUGAACACUUCUCGUUUUCAGUCUUAAUUUCCUUCAGGGCUUGUUUACUUGUUUUAUUGAUCAAACUUCUAUUCUGUUUUUACUUGCUUGGUCAGAAUAUAUAUUUUAGAGCUGUUUUCUAAAAAUAACUAUGAGCUGUAUUAUAGAUUUCCUAUUGUACCUGCUGUAAAUGAUGUUUAAUAUAUUUGCUUCUAGUCUGACGGACAGAAUGAGCAGACUGGCUUCACAGGGAUCGGCAGCGUGAGGGUUUCAGUCUUACCUGAAAGUGUUUACUUGUGUCGGUUUAGUGUGCUCGCUUGUUUGUAAUCACAUGAAAUCCUAAAUUGUAAGAUGGAAAAACCUGUUGGUGCAAUAGUUGUGAUCGACUGGAAUGUUACUGGAUUUCAAAUCGUAAGUGCAAUAGUGUAGAAACGGUUUUAAGAGUGCUGAGCUUUUUUAUCUUCUACUUAUGUGAACCAUGUGGGAGCUUUACAGAAGAGUGAGUACAUUUAGAUUUUCAGAGUGAAUGUGGAAUCAUGCUGCUGACUGAAAUGUUUUCCAGUUGCAUCUCAAGUUUGAAGCACUUUUAUGUCUUAGAAAAGGGACAGCUCCCCCUGCUGGACAACAUAUAUAUAUAGAGAGAGAGAGAGAUGUCUGCACUUACACGUGCCAACCACUAGAGGGCUCACAUCUGAUGUUUAGGAAUCCUGAGUGGAAUAGCCUUCGUGGUCAGGUUUGAAAUACUUGGACUAGAAUCACAAACGAUUGUUCAUAAUGUUUGUUUUUUGUUUUUAUUAACAGCAUUAGGGUGUUUGUUUUAAACGUGCAGAUCUGUGUUUUUAUGUUUAGAGAGUGGAAUUGCUCAGCUGUGAAUGGCAGGACUGAUGAGGGAUGUAACGAAUGUAAAGGAGAACUAAACUCGUCCAUCUUUACUCCUUUUUAAAAAUAAAAGUCCAAAAUUCCUUAGAUAACGUUGUUUCAGUAAAAAAAAAAAGUGCAGCUCUGUGGUUUUCAGCUUGUUUCUGUAUCCUGUGACCUGCUUUGAUCUUUUGAAAUGAUUUCAGACCGAGACCCACUAAAGCUGAAACUUAUCUCUGGUUUGUUUCCUCGCACUCCUCCCCAAAGUUUGUGCCUUUUUUUCUGUUCUGCUCUUUAUUUCUUUGGGGUGUUGAGGCCAACACAACUGUAUCUUUGUACAUAAACUCCUGCACUUUAAACUCAAUACAGUUGUUGAUGAAAAUCAAACGUCUGAGGGCUCUUCUUCCUGUUUCUGACUGUUCGCUGGCUUUUCUUCCACUUUCACUAGUUUCGUUCUUAUUUUUACUACUCUGCAUUUUUCUCUCUUAUGCUUUGAGCCACUCCGACGCUCUUAACAGGUGAUGAAACCUACCAGGACAUCUUCCAGGAUUUCACCCACAUGGCCUCGAACGACCCUGAUAAACUCAACCGCUACCAGCAGUAUGACGCGCAGAGACCCUGACCAGCGGCGCUCUGGUGAACAUCUGGAGCGUCGUCCACCCCUGAUGUGACCAAAGCUUCUCCUCAUCAAGUCGUCCGAAAGGUUUAGUAGAAAACUAAAAGCACUUGGCCGAAGAGGACGACGCCCGUAGGAACGGUACAGCCGUUGAAAAGGAUUCUUGUAAAGUUUUCAAUCCUAAAUGACAGAAUGUAAAACGCUCGUCAGACGUUUCCUGCUUUAAACGUAUGAAAUGUGUCGGAUCUGUAAAGGAAAAGCGCUCGAUCAGACUCCUAAAACGACCGUUUCCUCUGUGGGAUUUGUUUUAGUUUGUUAGAAAAAUGCCCUCUGCAGGCCUGUACAUACUUUUACUCUGGAAACAAACCUGUUAUGAUUCAUUUGUAAUUUUAGAAUUUUUUAUGCUUCUUUUUAUACGUUUUUCUGAGAAAUAAUUAAUUUUAAAUGUUAGCAUCAGCAAUUUGUGUUGAAAGAUUUUGGGAUAAUUCAGUAAGCUGUGAGUCCAUCAUUUCUAAAUUAUAUUCAGCUGAUUGAUCCUGAGGUUGAAGCAUCGUCGGUUUGUCACUAACAGCAAAAAGGAUGGCAUGAGACGGAUAGAUUAUUACAUCCUAGAGGGCGGGCGGGCGAGAGAAAGAUAGAUGGAUAGAGAGAUAGAUAGAUAGAUCCAUCAUUUCCUGUGUAGGAGGGUUUUAUUGUAGCAGCAGCCUGAUGCUUGUUGCUCUGCUCCUUACUCCAGUUUUACAUGAAUUCAUAAACCAUAAAGACACCUUUCCCUGGUAAACUGGAUGAUUUCAGCAACAGGAUGAUGUAAACAAACAAACAUUAGAUGGCCGUGCUGAAAGACCUCAAACAUUUACUGAAAUGAUGAUCUGGAUGAGCAGCAAGCAAGUUCCUCACAUGCAGUCAGCUUCAGUGGUGAAACUUCAUCUCUAAUAAGAAAUAUUAACACCUAGAUCGGCUCUUGUGCAAUAAAAUGUGACUUUUCUGUUAAAACUUCAUUUUUAGCACAAAUUUAAAGACAAGUGGUUCGGCUAACACCAUGUGGGAUACAAUUCUUGUACGUUCUGUACUGAUGCUUUCAAACUCUGGAUCCGACUGAAGGAUGAAGUUAGUGGUACUUGAAUCAUUCAAUAAGCUUUUGUAAAUGCUGUUCUUUGUAUCUUUUGAUAAUUAUAGCCUGUUUUAUAUGUAUACCACUAUACAUGUACUGUAUAAUGCACCUGUAAUGUUUAAGGACUUAAAUACAGAGGGACGACACUCUUCUGA